UACGUAGGGUGCGAGCGUUGUCCGGAAUUACUGGGCGUAAAGAGCUCGUAGGUGGUUUGUCACGUAGUCUGUGAAAUUCCGGGGCUUAACCUCGGGCGUGCAGGCGAUACGGGCAAUACUUGAGUGCUGUAGGGGAGACUGGAAUUCCUGGUGUAGCGGUGAAAUGCGCAGAUAUCAGGAGGAACACCAAUGGCGAAGGCAGGUCUCUGGGCAGUUACUGACGCUGAGGAGCGAAAGCAUGGGUAGCGAACAGGAUUAGA
rnacentral:rRNA from 1 species